UAGACAUGAUGAGUUUCACUUCUGGUCCGUGUUUUUGAAUCUCUGUGAUAUUUGUGGAAGUUCUGAGCUA